rnacentral:tRNA from 1 species
GCUCGAGUGGCGUAAGCGGGAAUGAAUACCGCCAAGGGUAGCGUCCGCGUGCUUCGACAGCGGAGACGAGGGUUCGAAUCCCUCCUCGGGCA